rnacentral:rRNA from 1 species
CACAUGCAAGUCGAACGGAGUAUUGAGCUUGCUUAAUAACUUAGUGGCGGACGGGUGAGUAACACGUGAGCAAUCUGCCUUCAGAGGGGGAUAGCAGUUGGAAACGACUGGUAAUACCGCAUAACAUAACGAAGCCGCAUGACUUUGUUAUCAAAGAUUUAUCGCUGAGAGAUGAGCUCGCGUCUGAUUAGAUAGUUGGUGAGGUAACGGCUCACCAAGUCGACGAUCAGUAGCCGGACUGAGAGGUUGAACGGCCACAUUGGGACUGAGACACGGCCCAGACUCCUACGGGAGGCAGCAGUGGGGAAUAUUGCACAAUGGGCGCAAGCCUGAUGCAGCGAUGCCGCGUGAGGGAAGAAGGUUUUAGGAUUGUAAACCUCUGUUGACAGGGACGAUAAUGACGGUACCUGUUGAGGAAGCUCCGGCUAACUACGUGCCAGCAGCCGC